ACGAACGCUGGCGGCGUGCUUAACACAUGCAAGUCGAACGGAAAGGCCCUGCUUUUGUGGGGUGCUCGAGUGGCGAACGGGUGAGUAACACGUGAGUAACCUGCCCUUGACUUUGGGAUAACUUCAGGAAACUGGGGCUAAUACCGGAUAGGAGCUCCUGCUGCAUGGUGGGGGUUGGAAAGUUUCGGCGGUUGGGGAUGGACUCGCGGCUUAUCAGCUUGUUGGUGGGGUAGUGGCUUACCAAGGCUUUGACGGGUAGCCGGCCUGAGAGGGUGACCGGCCACAUUGGGACUGAGAUACGGCCCAGACUCCUACGGGAGGCAGCAGUGGGGAAUAUAGCACAAUGGGCGGAAGCCUGAUGCAGCAACGCCGCGUGCGGGAUGACGGCCUUCGGGUUGUAAACCGCUUUCGCCUGUGACGAAGCGUGAGUGACGGUAAUGGGUAAAGAAGCACCGGCUAACUACGUG
rnacentral:rRNA from 1 species